rnacentral:rRNA from 1 species
UAACAUAUGCUUGUCUCAAAGAUUAAGCCAUGCAUGUCUAAGUAUAAACAACUUUAUACUGUGAAACUGCGUACAGCUCAUUAAAUCAGUCAUUAUUUAUUUGAUGGUUUCUUACUUACAUGGAUACCCGUAGUAAUUCUAGAGCUAAUACAUGCAAAAAAUCCCGACUUUUGAAGGGAUGUAUUUAUUAGAUAAAAAACCAAUGCACCUUCGGGUGGUUUGUGGUGAUUCAUAAUAACUGAUCGAAUCGCAUGGCCUUGCGCUGGCGAUAGUUCAUU